GUCUCUCACCAUCGCUUCCCCUGCUUCUCGUGGAGAGCUUGAUUGGCCUCGUGAACAGGAUCAGGAGGGCCCAUACGGUCCUCACCGACUACGGUGGCGACAACGCCCUGCUAACUCAUUAGGAAGCCCUUCUGUUCGUCACUGUCGUCGGUGGACAGAAUUCUGGAAAACCAUCGGUUUUGGAGAGCAUCGUCGGGCGGGAUUUUCUUCCUAGGGGAUCUGGUUGGGGUUCUAAAUUUUUUAUUCUUUUGAUUUUAUUUUUUAUUUUUUUGAGUUUUUUCUAUGGUGGAUCUUAUGGUAUUCUUGAAGGGAUUGUCAUAUGUCAGUCAUUGGUUCUACAGCUACACAAGACGGACAAAGGACAGAUGAAGCAUGUUGAGUUUCUUCACUUGCCAAAGAGGAGAUUUUCAGGUUUUGGUAAAUGUUAUUUUUCCAUUGCUUCGUAGAUUCGAUGUUUGAUUUAUGGGUCUCUUUUGCCCCGGCAUCUCCCCUACAUUUUCGCUGCUUCUUAAUUUUAUUUUCAUCUUGAAUUCUCUCAAUUCUGACUCGACGAGUACACGCAUACAGCAACAAACAUCUUCAAGUAGGCAGAGGAACUGCAAAGGUGAAAUAAUUACUCUCUACUGCCGUUGAUCCGGAUCAUUUUUUAUGAAAUAAGGAAACUUCGAAGAACAUAUUAGAAAUUGGAUAUCCAAGAGAUGACACUGGAUAUGAAAAUUCACCUCAAUCAGAGUAUAUUGACCUCCCCCAGUACAGGCGAGCAACAUGUGUGUUCGCAGCAACCAUUACUCACCAACAGCUUUGAUUCUGUUCACUCAUCAUUACCUCCUAGCUUUGCCACACUACUGACAAGCUGUUCAACAGAAAAUUUCAAAGAGGCACCCGAACCAAUGGAAACAGAAUUCAUGUCCCAAAUCAUUGGAUAUGGACUGCAAAGACGAUCAGCCCAACAGUGCCAUCUAUGUUCAACAAGCUAAUGCAUGAAGUGGCUUGAUGAGAGGUUUACCAGUUCGGUCUUCUCCAUUUCAUUCGACAGUGUGGCCAAUCUAGGAGUGGACCACAUGAAAGAAUUUUUUUUUAUUUUUUUAAAAUGUAUUCAAGACCAUUUUCAACGUAUUGUUGUAAAUAUUAUAUAUUUUAUUGUAAAGUAAUACAAAUUUUGUUUAAUAUUCAUUUUUAAUUGUACCCUAA